UUUAAGAGCAUAUGGUGGAUGCCUAGACUCAAAAUGGCGAUGAAAGACGUAGCAUGGCUGCGAUAAGUUUCGGGGAGGUGCCUAGCAACCGGCGAUCCGAAAAUCUCUGAAUGGGGAAACCUAGCGACUUUAGUCGCUGUCAUACGAAUUACGUAUGACGUGCACCCAGGGAAGUAAAACAUUUCAGUACCUGGAGGAAAAAAGAACAAUUGUUAUUUCGUAAGUAGCGGCGAGCGAAAACGAAAGAGCCCAAACCCGCCUAACUUUUUUGAGUUAUAAUAGAAAAAUGUUAAUAUUGUGUUAGCAGAAUGCGCUGGAAAGCGCGACCCUAGAGGGUAAUAGUCCCGUAAGCGAAAAUACAAUAUCUUCUUUGUUUCUGUUCUUGAGUACUUCGAGACAUGAAUAGCUCGGAGGAAUCUGCCGGUACUAACCGGUAAGGCUAAAUACAUUUUGAGAUCGAUAGUGAACUAGUACCGUGAGGGAAAGGUGAAAAGAAGUCCGAUAAGGACAGUGAAAUAGAUCUGAAACCAUAUGCUUACAAGGAGUCAGCGCAUGGCGUGCCUAUUGAAGAAUGAGCCAACGAGUUAAUGUGUGCGGUUUGACUAAGUUAGGCGGGUGGAGUCGUAGGGAAACCGAGUAUGAAUAGUGCGUUUACUAUGCUUGCAUAGUUAUCGCACGCAUUAGACCCGAAGCCAGAGCGAGCUUGUCAUGAGCAGGGUGAACAAGGGAGAAAUCUCUUGGGAGGCCCGAACCGUUUAGCCGUGCAAUACUAUCGGAUGACUUGUGAUAAGAAGUGAAAAGCUAAUCGAGCCUGGUAAUAGCUGGUUCUCUCCGAAAUAGCUUUUGGGCUAGCGUCGUANNUACGUCAAAAAGGAAACAGCCUAGAUCUCUAUUUAAGGUCCCUAAAUCUACGUUAAGUGCGCUUAAGGUGGUGGAAUUUCUCUGACACUGAGGAGGUUGGCUUAGAAGCAGCCAUCCUUUAAAGAUAGCGUAACAGCUCACUCAGUAAGAGAUUCCGCGCCGCAAAUAAUCGGGGCUAAACGUAGUACCGAAACUGAGGAUUCGUGCACGAGUGGUAGGAGAGUAUUCGCAUCUGCACUGAAGGCGAAGGGGUGACCCGCGCUGGAGCGUUGCGAAGUAAGAAUGUUGGCACAAGUAACCACAAUAGAGGUGAGAACCCUCUACGCCGAAAGACUAAGGUUUCCUGUUCAAUGUCAAUCAGAGCAGGGUUAGUCGGGCCUAAGGCAAUGGAGAGAUCCGCAGCCGAUGGACACAGGGUUAAUAUUCCCUGACUUUUGUAUAGUGCGAUGGAAGGACGGAGGGCAGUAUGUACAGCUCAUUAUUGGAUUUGAGUUGGUGUGGUCAGGAUGUGGCGUAGGUAAAUCCGCGCCCUCUCUUAAAUGAGGAAUCCGAGCUAUUUCGAAACCCGGCGAUACGUCAAAGGGGAUUGUACAAAGCGCGCUUCCUAGAAAAUUUUCUAAGCAUAACUAUAUGAAAUCCGUACCGCAAACCGACACAGGUGGUCAGCUCGAGUAGAGUAAGGCGAACGAGUGAGAGAUCCCCAAGGAACUCGGCAAAAAAGCAGCCGUAACUUCGGAAUAAGGCUUCCCCUCCCGACGAAUUCGUGAGCAUAAUGCUCGCGGGAAAAAGUUUACGACACGCAACAGUGGUCAAUGGAUUAUAAUAUAUGCAGAAGCGUAUAGAAGUGAAUCUGAUGCCCGCGAGCGUGAAGGUAAAUUAAAGAUACACGGUAGUGCUAUGGUUUCUCUUCUUAAGCGAUUAAAGAAAAGUCGUUUGAGCCAAAAGUAGGGAGGGGUGCAACAAAAGUUUCUCUGGCAACUGUUUAUCAAAAACACAGCUCCCUGCGAACUCGCAAGAGGAUGUAUAGGGGGUGAUGCCUGACCAAUGCCAGAAGGUCAAAUAUGGGGUUGGUUAUGAAAUAGCCAUUUUGUUUGUUAUAUUUUCUAACCUCGGCGGAAAAAACGACGAGAGACAGUGUCUGGCGGGCAGUUUUAGUGGGGCGCUCUCCUCCUAAAAGGUAACGGAGGAUUCUAUUAAGUUCAGCUAGACGCGAAUGGAAACCGUGUCGAUAGUGUAAUGGCAUAAGCUGGAUUAACUGUAAGUCGUACAUGACAAACAGACACGAAAGUGGAGCAUAGUGAGCCGAUGGUCCGUGUUAGAGGCGGCCAAAGAUCAAAGGAUAAAAGCUACCCUGGGGAACAGGCUGGUUGUGCCUAAGCGUCCAUAGCGACGGCACAGUUCGGCACCUCGAUGUCGGCUCAAGAUAGCGCGGGCGUGAGACAGGUUGGUCUCCUAUCUACUGUAGGCGUUGAUUCUUGAGAAGAUUUGCCCCUAGUACGAGAGGACCGGGGUGAACUGACCUCUGGUGUGUCUGCUGUCCUGCCAAGGGCACCGCAGAGUAGCUAAGUCGGGAACGGAUAAACUCUGAAAGCAUCUAAGAGUGAAGCCAACUUCAAGAUUAGGAAUCGCGCGGGACUCCAUAUUAGAAAUACGAUGAAAGUUUUUUCGAGAGAAAGUCUAGCAGGCGACGAAAGAGCGGGAUUUUGCAUUAGUCGGAUGAAUGGAGUCCCGCACAGGCCCGUGAGAGAUGAUCACGUGAUAGGCACUAGGUGUAAGCACAGUAAUGUGUUCAGCCGAGGUGUACUAAUUAGCCGA
rnacentral:rRNA from 1 species